rnacentral:tRNA from 1 species
GAGGGUGUAGCUCAGUGGUAGAGCAUGUGCUUAGCAUGCACGAGAUCCUGGGUUCAAUCCCCGGUUCCUCCG